GGGGGGGGGGGGCGGGGGGGCGGGCGCGGGGGGGGCGGGCGGAGCACCGUACCUGGUUCUUCGGGUGGCGGUUUGGUGGCUGAGUGGCGGACGGGUGAGUAACGCGUGGGUAACCUGCCCUGUACAGGGGGAUAACAGCUGGAAACGGCUGCUAAUCCCGCAUAAGCGCACGCGGAGACAUCUCCUUGUGUGAAAAACUCCGGUGGUACAGGAUGGGCCCGCGGCUGAUUAGCUGGUUGGCAGGGUAACGGCCUACCAAGGCAACGAUCAGUAGCCGGUCUGAGAGGAUGAACGGCCACAUUGGAACUGAGACACGGUCCAAACUCCUACGGGAGGCAGCAAUGGGGAAUAUUGCACAAUGGGGGAAACCCUGAUGCAGCAACGCCGCGUGAGUGAAGAAGUAUUUCGGUAUGUAAAGCUCUAACAGCAGGGAAGAUAAUGACGGUACCUGACUAAGAAGCUCCGGCUAAAUACGUG
rnacentral:rRNA from 1 species